rnacentral:tRNA from 1 species
GGGUGAUUAGCUCAGUGGUAGAGCGCUUCGUUCACAUCGAAGAUGUCGGAGGUUCGAAUCCUCCAUCACCCACCA